rnacentral:lncRNA from 1 species
AACAGGCGGAGGCAUUAUGAGGUGAGUAAGUUGUCAGGGCAAAGCCCUCAAGGAUGGGACUAGGACCCUUUAAAAGGACCUGAAGGAAUGGGUUUGGCCUCUUCCCUCCCUUCCGCCACUGAGGACACAGCGUUCAUCCCCUCUAGAGAAUGCAGCAGGAAGGGUCCAUCUUGGAAGCUGAGACGGGACUCUCACCAGACACAGAGACUGCCAAUGCCUUGAUCUUGAACAUUCCAGCAUCCAGAACGGAUUCCCAGAGAGAAGGAAAGGGUGUCUUCACUAGGCUUCAUGGUAGCAAGCACAAUCACUGCAUAAGAAGUGCAGGGACAGCAGAGUGACCCUUCUGUGAACACAUCCAAUGACUGGAGUCCGGAGGCCUAUGGGCUGGAAGUGAGUGUGCCAACAACCAGAGCCCUGGGUAAGAAGGGAACUGCAUCGCAAGGAGGCCCAAUUAAACUGCAAUUACUCAAGAUAAGAAAACGAGGUCUGUUUACACAAUGGGGUUGUAAACCACCGGCUGUGACAAGAGAACUUUGAUCUGGUGGCAAGGGAGCUGUUUCUCAUGCAGGGCAGUGAUGAAACAAGGAGGUUUCCCAAUGAGGAUGUCUCCAUCUUCACCCCAGUAGCCCCAUCUUCUUCUGGUAGCACCCUUGCAUGGACAAGCGGAAAUCCUCACCCCUUCCCAGCCCCAGUAUCCACCUAACACAAUCAAAAAGUGAAGAAUAGAAAGAGAUGAGAUAGUGACUAAAAGGAAAAGAGAAUUGAUGGAGGUCAUCUUUGUGGAGGCGCUUGACAAGCAUGUUCUCACUGAACCGUCACAGUGACCUUCCACGUACCUUAUACCAUGCCUAUUUUACAGAUGAAGACACUGAGGUUCAGAGGAGAGCAGUGCCUCCCAAACUGUAAUGUGCAUAUGAAUCACCCGGGGAUCCUGUUACAAUGCAGUCUGCUGCAGUAGGUCUGAGGUCUGGCCAGACAUUCCACAUUUCUAACAAGCUCCCACGUGGUGCUGAUGCCGCAGGUCAGAGGACUUCACUGUGAGUAGCAAGGCAGCGCUGGACUAACUUGGUUGAACUCAUGAGUGAUUAUAACAAGGUAGGUGUUUAGGAGGCAGAGCCCAAGGAGGAACAGGCAAGACUUCUGUGCCAAGGCUGAGCAGAUGCUGGUAACCUCAGGUGCAAUACAAACCCGGCUGGGGAGAAUUGAGUAGCUCAGGACCUGUCAGUGUCUCAGGAGCCAUAUGCCAGAUGCACAUCUGCCAAGACUUCUUGCUUUUCCUAAGAAGACAUGGUUCUAGUUAUUUGGUCCCUUUUAUCAAGAAACUGGCAAUGGUGCUUUCUCCCAUCAACAGAAGUCAUUUGGAUUAAGGAUUACAAGAGGUGCCAAGAGAUAAUUUAAAAGAGUUAUUUGCAUUAUAUGUUUUUUUUUACAAUUGUAAAAGACUCACAUGUUUUGGAAACUUUUUGUACAUUGUUUUGCAAACUUUUAUGCAUCUGGAAUUAUUUCAAAGUGAAAAGUUUUUUUUAAGUCUCUAAAAAGACUAAAUCUCUUUUAAAUCUCUAAAAAGACCAAAAUUCUGGAGUUUUCUACCUUUCCACAUCUCUUGAAAAUUUAUAUAUUUUUUCCUCCCCAUUGAGAAUAUUUUCCUGACAUUUGCACUAAAUGUUUGUUGCUUACUCUCAUGCUAGUAAGUACUACCCAGCCUGUUCCCUCUAAGUUCUGAAGGCAGCUCCAACACUUGAUUACUGGAAUAUGAAAUCUAUCCUCUUUUGAAAAAAAGGCAGAUCAGAAACAUCCUUCCCUCACUGCUCUAGAUACCAUUUUUUUCUACCUGAACUCCCAAAGCAUGUAUAGGUUAUACUACACUACUUAAUAAUUAUAUUGUCUUUCAUUUUUAUCCUCUUUUCUAGUAAAGAUUAUUGUGUUAAUUUUAAAAAUGGAGUUUACAUAUUGUUUCUUCUGUGUUUGGUAUGGUCUCCAGCACAAGGCUGGGCAUGGAGUAGAAAUAAAACUGAUAUUUGUCAGGGAAGGGACUGACUUACUUACCCAGGAAACUAGGCCUGGGUAGUCUUUCUUCAAAGUCAGUAUCUUCAUAACAAUGAAUAAGUAAUCCACAGAUACCACUUCAGAAAACAGGCUUAAUCCAGUGUUCUCCUAGAUAAGCAAAUCAGUCUAAGCAGAAAAAUCUAUCCUAAAUUUGUGUAAAUGUCUUAGAGUUACUUAGAUUCCUAUGACAUGCAGUUCCAAUCACAAGCUCUGGGUUCACAUUCCAUUGGCUCUAAUCAGGGUCCACCAUGAGUUAACACGGUCAUAUGACUGAGCCUCAGAGUCCCCACCUGGUAAAUGGGGAUGACGAGAGUGGAGUGCCCACCUCAAAACUUCAUUGUAGAUUAAAUGAAGCAGUCCCUGCAAAGCACCUAGCAAGGAUGUUGGAACAUACCAAGUGCUCAGUAAACGUUAGGGCUGAGUAUUCCUCCUUAGGUGAAAUGAAGAAGAAUGGAUAUGAUAACUAGAAAAUCAUCUACAUUAAAAGGUGGAGUUCAAUAAGCUAUACUUUCAGUACAGCAGGGAUAAAGGAGAUGAGGAAGCAAAAAGUAAGUUAUGUCUUCACAUCUAAUUUUUCCCAGGAUUGAAGAAACUUAAAAGAUUUGCCUGAAAUGCCACUAAAUUGCUGCAUACCACAUUAAUUUUGCUCAAAUGCUAAAUACUUUAUCAUUUCCAUAAUGAAGAAAGAAAGGGAGGAAAGGGAAGGAGGAGGGAAGAGGGAGAGAGAGAAGAAGAAGAAAGGAGGGGAGAGAAAAGAAAGAAAGAGGAAG